UUUCAAUCGUCUGAGACAAUUAUAGCUUUGCAUGUUAAUACACACACAUAUAUGAUGACUUAGUAACAAUGAAAACCAGAAUCAGGUAUAAAUUCCAACUAUAACGAUUCAAUUCGCUGCUGCAACAAAACUAAUCAACCAUCAUAUUGCCAAAACAGUGUCAGCUAUCAGUAGGUUAUGACCAGCUAACACACACAUACACAUGAUUAUACCAAACAUUAUUAAGACUACACCAGAGGCGGAUAUUGCUUGGCCUGCAGCUUAACCCGUUUCUUGUACUCAAUAGCAUCCUGAAUAAAGAGAUGAUAUCCUUCAGUUUGAGCAGGAUCAGCAGGGUUUGGCUGA
rnacentral:misc_RNA from 1 species